UGGAGGGUCCAGGAGACGCUGUAACUCAGGGUCCAUACCAAGGCACACCAGCUGCCUUUGGAGUCUUCCCUUUGUUAAGCUUUCGAUGUAGUAGUCAGCAUCCUUGAUUCUCAGGACUGAGGAUGGGCUUCGGUGAUGCUGCCAAGCUGCCGCCAACACGAUGGUGCAAUGGAGGCUUGGAGGGUAGAUGACUUGGACAAGAUUAUCCAGACUGCAAGAGCGAGGCAACAUCAGUGCUCUUCACCUCUACUCUAUGUGAAUAAAUACACUUGACACAUGAUAAUCUGAAAACCCAGAGCCAACAUGGAGAUUUUGCCAUGCCUAGCACUGCCCUUCACACCGGUGACUUCUCUGACUCCAGUCACAUCCUUUAGGCGAAGGAUGGCAUGUGCCAGCAGUCAGCAAGUGCUGUAAUUCUGUUGAAUUAGCUUACCUGAGAUGGAUGAGAGCAGUUCAGGCUGAUUCUGGGGCAAAGGUUCCUUGGUAACAGGUUUUUGUGACAACUUUAGUCAGGAUAAUCUCCUACAGUAGGGCAGUCUUGGUAACAAAGCCCUCAAAAUGGGAAGGGGUGGGCCCAUAGAGCAGGUACUACAGCUUGAUAUGAAGUGUCUUCUAAUGGUGCACGUAUCAAAAGGUGGGGUCUAUCAUACUCCUGGAACGCGAUGGAAUAUCUAAUCCAUUAGACCUUGCAAGAAAUUUGAUCACUGAGCGCUACCACUGAAAGGGGUGCUGGAACUCUGGCCUCUUCCUCUCGUUGCUUUUGUCUCUCAUCAGCCAUGAAAUGAGCAGAAUUGCUCUUCCACUCGCUCUUAACAUGCUAUCCUGCCACCCUGGGUCAAAAGCAAGAGGCAACCAAUGCAACUAUGAGCCAGAAUUAAGUAUUCCCCUCUUCGAUUGGCUCCGAUUAUUGCUUUCAGCAAUGGGAAGCUUAUACAGGGACCUGAUGGCUGGUCCAAAAGAGUUUAAACAAACCUCCCCAGGAUAUAGGAUUGGACUUCUUCAGAGUCAUGUCUGCUCUUAGCACAAAGUUGUAUAGAAGUGAAAGGGCAUGGGUUUAGAUGACUGAAGGUGGUCCACUGCUAUGUUGUGAAAGUUAAAGACCUGCCAGAUUAUAGAAAGGUAGUGGAUGAACUUCUGUUCCUCCUCAUAACAUGGAUUUACAGGUCAAGUAACUUGACCAAAAUCACAUUAGAUGACUGAGUUGGAAUGUAACCUAGGACCAUGUAAAUGCAAACCUGUGAUAUUUCCUUUGUAUCUGAUGCUGUACACUCCGCCCAAACUUCCUCCUUGUCAUCUUCAGCAUUCCCAUGCUUGUUCCUAUUACCCUCAGCAUCCCCAUGCUUGUUCCUAUUACCCUCAGCAUUCCCAUGCUUGUUCCUAUUACCCUCAGCAUCCCCAUGCUUGGUGGACGUCUAGCAUAUGUCUACUCAAUGAAUGGAUGUAAUACAUGGAUGAGAGGGACCAGCAUCUCCUUUGGCACUUACUAGCACUAUGUUAUGGGAUAAAUGCCAGAUCACCCCCAGGUGAGUUAGAACACAGGGCUAGUGGCAUGUUAUCAUCCCCAAAGGGAAGAGAAUUGACCAGAUGCUCUGUUGAUAGUUUUGCCUUAAAAAGCUGGAAGUUCAGAUGCCCGUGUAGAGCAACUCCGGGCAAAUGGCACAGGCUUCUGGAGGGCUUGCUGUGGGGCUUUCUCUUCUCUUUUUCCAUGGAGAAAUAUAACUCUGGGAGAAAGGAAGGAGAACUGGGCCAGUGUUCAUAACAGUGGAAUGUUUGUUUAGCAUGAGUGUGGAUGAAGAUGUGAGCAGAGAGCCUGUGGCAGCAUUUUCUCUAUCAUGAAGGGAAGCCCUAAAAGGCUGGAAUAGAAUCAGAAUCUCUUCCUUUACUUACACAACAUAAGAAAAAAAAUUCAUGUUGAUGAAAUACAUUUCCCCUGGCACCACGAAAUAAACAAAAUCAACCAACCAACCAGUCAAUCAGUAAGCGACCUCUACCUUAACACAGAUCUGUGUGUUUCUAGCACAGAGAGAGUUAAACAGGUUUCUUUAAUGCUGGUGUUCCUAGAAUCUUUAAUAGGCCAGUGUAUUUUCCCACAGCACUCUAACUCUGAAGAUUUAAGUUUUAGAAUGCUUGUUAACAUCUCCAGAGACAUCAGUGUUCCAUGGAAUGCACUGUGGGAAACCUGCUUCAGCCUGCUGAAACGAGUCUCUGGUUUAGAACUACAAUUCUGAACACAGUUUAGAAGUAGGAACCUGUUUCAGUCAAAAAGAGAAAAAGCUAUGUUCAGCCACUCAUCCGAUUUUCUCACAGCAAUUGUAAAAAUAACUGUCAUGUGAGGUUUGAGGAUGGCUACAUCAUUAGGUAUGUGGUCUAAGUGUGUGUGUGGGUGUAGUAGUUCAUGGAAAAUGAAGAAAAAAUGAAAAACUGCAAAGGUGAUAGGGUGUUUGGAGAGAAGAGGGAAUGUUUAAGCAGAGAAAAUAGAAAACACCGUCUAUAUAGUCAGUUAAGUCUGACUUCCUAUGUCAUCCAAUGCCUCUUAGCUCCAUAUUUUGUUUCUCUAUAUAGAGGGGAGCUGGAAACAUCCACAUGGUGGAAGAGACAAAAGAAAUAUUUGUCAUCUGUAUUUUAGAAUAUUAUGAGUUCUCAAAAUGUACUCAUAAAUAAAUUUCUUAGAAACAAAUUUGAAGAAUUUUAUUCAAAUCUAUAUCAUCAAUACCUGCAGCUUUAUUUCC